rnacentral:rRNA from 1 species
GAUGAACGCUGGCGGCGUGCCUAAUACAUGCAAGUCGAGCGAACGGACGAGAAGCUUGCUUCUCUGAUGUUAGCGGCGGACGGGUGAGUAACACGUGGAUAACCUACCUAUAAGACUGGGAUAACUUCGGGAAACCGGAUCUAAUACCGGAUGAUAUUUUGAACCGCAUGGUUCAAAAGUGAAAGACGGUCUUGCUGUCACUUAUAGAUGGAUCCGCGCUGCAUUAGCUAGUUGGUAAGGUAACGGCUUACCAAGGCAACGAUGCAUAGCCGACCUGAGAGGGUGAUCGGCCACACUGGAACUGGGACACGGUCCAGACUCCUACGGGAGGCAGCAGUAGGGAAUCUUCCGCAAUGGGCGAAAGCCUGACGGAGCAACGCCGCGUGAGUGAUGAAGGUCUUCGGAUCGUAAAACUCUGUUAUUAGGGAAGAACAUAUGUGUAAAUAACUGUGCACAUCUUGACGGUACCUAAUCAGAAAGCCACGGCUAACUACGUG